GACGAACGCUGGCGGCGUGCUUAACACAUGCAAGUCGAGCGGAAAGGCCCUGCUUGCCGGGUACUCGAGUGGCGAACGGGUGAGUAACACGUGGGUGAUCUGCCCUGCACUUCGGGAUAAGCCUGGGAAACUGGGUCUAAUACCGGAUAGGAGCCAUUUUUAGUGUGGUGGUUGGAAAGUUUUUUCGGUGUAGGAUGAGCUCGCGGCCUAUCAGCUUGUUGGUGGGGUAAUGGCCUACCAAGGCGGCGACGGGUAGCCGGCCUGGGAGGGUGGACGGCCACAUUGGGACUGAGAGACGGCCCAGACGCCGACGGGAGGCAGCAGUGGGGAAUAUUGCACAAUGGGCGCAAGCCUGAUGCAGCGACGCCGCGGGGGGGAUGACGGCCUUCGGGUUGUAAACGCCUUUCGCUAGGGACGAAGCUUUUUGUGACGGUACCUAGAUAAGAAGCACCGGCUAACUACGUG
rnacentral:rRNA from 1 species